GACGAACGCUGGCGGCGUGCUUAACACAUGCAAGUCGAACGGUGAAGCGCCUUCCUUUUUGGUGGGUGUGGAUGAGUGGCGAACGGGUGAGUAACACGUGAGUAACCUGCCCCCUUCUUCUGGAUAACCGCAUGAAAGUGUGGCUAAUACGGGAUAUUCUGGGUCUGUCGCAUGAUGGGUCUGGGAAAGAUAUUGUUUCGGUGGGGGAUGGGCUCGCGGCCUAUCAGCUUGUUGGUGGGGUGAUUGCCUACCAAGGCGGUGACGGGUAGCCGGCCUGAGAGGGUGGACGGUCACACUGGGACUGAGACACGGCGCAGACUCCUAAGGGAGGCAGCAGUGGGGAAUAUUGCACAAUGGGCGCAAGCCUGAUGCAGCGACGCCGCGGGAGGGAUGGAGGCCUUCGGGUUGUGAACCUCUUUCGACAGUGAAGCAGGCCUGCCUCGUUUGUGGGUGGGUUGACGAUAGCUGGAUAAGAAGCGCCGGCUAACUACGUG
rnacentral:rRNA from 1 species